rnacentral:rRNA from 1 species
GACGAACGCUGGCGGCGUGCUUAACACAUGCAAGUCGAACGGAAAGGCCCUGCUUUUGUGGGGUGCUCGAGUUGCGAACGGGUGAGUAACACGUGAGUAACCUGCCCUUGACUUUGGGAUAACUUCAGGAAACUGGGGCUAAUACCGGAUAGGAGCUCCUGCUGCAUGGUGGGGGUUGGAAAGUUUCGGCGGUUGGGGAUGGACUCGCGGCUUAUCAGCUUGUUGGUGGGGUAGUGGCUUACCAAGGCUUUGACGGGUAGCCGGGCUGAGAGGGUGACCGGCCACAUUGGGACUGAGAUACGGCCCAGCCUCCUACGGGAGGCAGAAGUGGGGAAUAUUGCACAAUGGGCGGAAGCCUGAUGCAGCAACGCCGCGUGCGGGAUGACGGCAUUCGGUUUGUAAACCGCUUUCGCCUGUGACGAAGCGUGAGUGACGGUAAUGGGUAAAGAAGCACCGGCUAACUACGUG